GAUGAACGCUGGCGGCGUGCUUAACACAUGCCAGUCGAACGGAAAGGCUCCUGCUUGCAGGGGUACUCGAGUGGCGAACGGGUAAGUAACACGUGGGUGAUCUGCCCUGCACUUCGGGAUAAGCCUGGGAAACUGGGUCUAAUACCGGAUAGGACCACAUUUUGGAUGGUGUGGUGGAAAGUUUUUCGGUGUGGGAUGAGCUCGCGGCCUAUCAGCUUGUUGGUGGGGUAAUGGCCUACCAAGGCGUCGACGGGUAGCCGGCCUGAGAGGGUGUACGGCCACAUUGGGACUGAGAUACGGCCCAGACUCCUACGGGAGGCAGCAGUGGGGAAUAUUGCACAAUGGGCGCAAGCCUGAUGCAGCGACGCCGCGUGGGGGAUGACGGCCUUCGGGUUGUAAACUCCUUUCGCUAGGGACGAAGCGUUUUUGUGACGGUACCUGGAGAAGAAGCACCGGCUAACUACGUG
rnacentral:rRNA from 1 species